rnacentral:rRNA from 1 species
GAUGAACGCUGGCGGCGCGCCUAAUACAUGCAAGUCGAGCGAACGGACGAGAAGCUUGCUUCUCUGAUGUUAGCGGCGGACGGGUGAGUAACACGUGGAUAACCUACCUAUAAGACUGGGAUAACUUCGGGAAACCGGAGCUAAUACCGGAUAAUAUUUCGAACCGCAUGGUUCAAAAGUGAAAGACGGUCUUGCUGUCACUUAUAGAUGGAUCCGCGCUGCAUUAGCUAGUUGGUAAGGUAACGGCUUACCAAGGCAACGAUGCAUAGCCGACCUGAGAGGGUGAUCGGCCACACUGGAACUGAGACACGGUCCAGACUCCUACGGGAGGCAGCAGUAGGGAAUCUUCCGCAAUGGGCGAAAGCCUGACGGAGCAACGCCGCGUGAGUGAUGAAGGUCUUCGGAUCGUAAAACUCUGUUAUUAGGGAAGAACAUAUGUGUAAGUAACUGUGCACAUCUUGACGGUACCUAAUCAGAAAGCCACGGCUAACUACGUG